UUUGUAUUUAGGAAAAAUUGACAUGUAUUGUUAAAAAAAAAAUGAUAUGUAUUUUUAAUGAAGUGGAAAACAAUUUUUUAUAUUGAUAUAAUAUAGAACAUAAAUUCAGAAAAAAAUAAAAUAAAAGGGUUGUGUUUGCCGAUGAAAUAUGGUUGUGCUCGGAAAAAUUUCUAUUGGCGACGAACUAAGCUCCUCUGUAAAUAUCCUAUACCGAAGAAAGGGUAACAUUCCUCGAUAAAUAGUAGAAUUUUUUGGGACAAUUUUAACAAAUUCAUCUGCAAUAGUUUAGGCGCCCCCAAUCCCACCGCACGAUCCUGCCAGUCUUCAAAUGGGAAAAUAAAUGAAAAUACAAUUAUAUUUCUCCUUUCUCUUCAUUUUUCUCCAUCAUUUGAUCUCUUUGUUAUUCGUUUGCAAUAGUUUGGGGUUUUCGACUCUCUCAGUGACCGAAAUAAUUCUGGGUUCGCAUCUGCUUUACCUUUCUCUUUAUUUCAACAGCAAGUCAAAGCAGCAGCUCUCUGCAUCUCCAAAGGUAGCCAAUCUUCUAAACGUUUGUGCCUUCUAGUCGCCGAUCUGGUUGUUGCCGUUCUGCAGAAUAUCAUAUAUUAAAUUAGAUGUAUAAGUCACGGCGUGGUAAUUCUCUAGUUGGUGCCCAUGGACGUGCACGUGAUCAUGGUCGUGGUGAAUCAAUGGAUAUUUGUGAGAUUCCACAUCGGUUGGAAAUGGGAACAAAGCAUGUCUUAUAAGGAUGUGGAUACAUUUCCCUUGUGACGCGUUUUAAACCCUUGCGGGUGGAGUUCAAAACGGACAAUAUCAUAUGCGGGUGGACUGGGCUGUUAUAGUUGGUAUCAAAGCCAGUACCCGGAUCGAUGUACCAACGAGGAUGCUGGGCCCUAAGGGGAGUGGAUUGUGCGAUCAGACAUCGGUUGGAAAGGGGAACGAAGCAUGCCUUAUAAGAGUGUGGAUACCUUUCCCUUGUGACGCAUUUUAAACUUGUGUGGGUGGGGUCUAAAGAGGACAAUAUCACAUGCGGGUGGACUGGGCUGUUACAAUAUUAAUGCAGCUCUUUCGAUCAUUCUGACACCUCGCAUACCAGAUUCAAGCUCAUCGAUUCCAUUCCCUUCAUCAGCUCCUCCUGCUCUAGCUGCUCCAUCUGCUCCAUCUGUUUCAUCCACUACAUCUCCUAGUCUUCAUAGUAGCACAGGUACACCUAAAAUUUAGUACAUGUUUAUCUUUCAUGUUUACUUAGUAAGAAAUCAAGUUUAGUCAUCAUAGAAAUAGUAGUGACCAAUUUUUAAUCCAUGUUAUAAGACCAAUAUCCAGCAUUCAGUACACUAAUACAUUGAUUUUGAUAUUUAGAACAAGCCUCAAACUACAAAAGUGAAAGCAAUUUCAGUACGCUAAGACAGGAAUAUCUAGCAAAGUAUAAAAAUAUGGAUGGUAUAUACUAAUUACCAUGAAAAAACAAACACUUUUGGUCAUAACCGCUUUCGAGUGAGUUUUGACCAUUAAUAAAGCUUUUGAGCAACUAAAAAGAUGGUCUAAGUGAUGGUCUAAGUAGAGACUUAACUUGCUAAUAAGUGAGUUUAGAAGGUGAUUUGUCCAAAGUUUUACACUUUUUAAAAAUCAUAACGAAAAGCUUUUUUGACAUAAUACAGUUAUUAUGGUUUCCCCAUUUGAAAUGCUGGACAUAAUGCAGAUAAGAGGGUUGAAUUUAGUAACUGUAAUAGAACCUUGCUUAACUUGUUUUCUUCAAUUCUUCUUCCUUGCCCUACGUUUAAUGGAAAAUAAGCGGCAAUUUUUCACAGUUUUAAUUGCUUUACUGUAGGAGACUUUGUGCUGACCUAUCUUCUUGUUUUUCUAUUGUCCAUUUUGUUGUUCUAAGCAGAUUAUAACUAGUAUUUAAGCUUCCUUUUCGCUCUUUCCUCUUCGAUUUUCCACAAUUUCAUAUAAAAAUAUAAAGUUAAAAGAACAAGAUAAAGAACAAACAAGAUGCAGAAAAGUAAAAAACUCAUUCCUCUGAAUUAAAGGCAUCCAUGCCUUUCCAUCUUAUUCAUUCAUAUUUAGAUUCCUUAACACGCAAUUUCAACAAGUAAAUACAGCUAAAAGAUCAAUCAAAAGAAACACAAUCUUCACUAGUAAAAAUAUAUAUUUUUUUAUAUAUAUAUAUAUAUAUAAUUAAAAAAUAAAUAAGAAGUAUAUUCAUUGUUGAUGCCCUCUAUUCCUCUUCUGUAUGGUUCUAUGUUUCAACCAUAAAUUUAGUAUCUUUCUAAAACUACAUCUAUAGCACCAAAAUAGGCUUCUCUCCAAUAUUUCCUCUUAGCCAAUAUUAGAUAAGGAACUAGAAUUCCUGCUGCAAAUCCCAAUCCAAUGCUCAACUAAAACCACUUAUCAACUAAACUGUCACCAACAUUGUUAUCUUAGGGAGUAGUCUGAAGUUAACUUCCAUGUAAUCAAACAACUCUCCGAGUGUCAUCUUCUCAAGAAGAUCCCCAAACUCAUUGUCCAAAGUCUCUUUCGAACUGAAAUUGCUCCCAUUUUUUGCCUCACUAGAAAUCUCUGCCAUACCCUCAGCUUUCACAUUGUCAUCAUCCUUAACCUCAUUAGGAACAGCUUCUUCACCAUUACCAUCUUCCAAAUUCAACCUCUUUACACUCUUAGCAGCACUAUCUCCCAAAUUCCUUUUUCCUGAGCAAAAUUCUUUCUACUCUGCAAACCAACAUGACUAUUGCUCACUUCAACAUUGUCAUCCUUAAGCUCAUUUGGAAUAGCUUCUUCACCAUCACCACCUUCCAAAUUUGACCCCUUUACACUCUCAGCAGUAGCUUCUUCUGCAACAUCAAUGGAAUAACUAUCUCCCAAAUUUGUACCAUACCCAGAUGGCUUUUGUUGAGCUAAAUUCUUCCUACUCUGCAAACCUGCACAAGUCUUUCUCACUUCAAGAAUUUUCCCUUCUUCUGUACCAACUGAAGAACCCUCUGGAAUUUUCCCUAACACUGAACCAGACACCAUCUCAUUUGCAUUUUCCUUCUUGUUCUUCAAGCUCCAAGUCUGCCUCGUCGUCGUAGCUUACUUUGCAAGUUUCAUUUCCACACAUCUUGAACACAAAACGAACAAAAAACAAACAAAAGGAAAAAUCAAAGUCUGCAUACAUUGAGACCUUAUCCACUAUGCACAAUUCAGAUAAAGUAUACAUAUAUAUAUAUAUAUAUACACUAUUACAUUGUAUUUGUGCAUAGUGCAGUGCUUACUUAUAAUCAUUGACUUUGGUGCAAAUAAAGUUCAAUUAAUUUUACCUUUGGUCCUUAAAUUCCUUAAACUACAUGAUUACUUGUAUUAUUAUCCAAGUUGUAUUUGUGCAUAGUGAACUAACAAAUGUUUGUGCUACCUUGUUUGUUGGAUGUUGAAAACAAAAAAUGUUAGUUUCGAACAAGGGAAAAAAGUAGAAAUAUGAAACAGGAGCUGUCUUGUUGUGAAAUUUGAUUCUAAUUGUCUUAGCUUAUUCCUUGUUGCAAUGACUAAUGGGGAAAUCAAUGGAGCAAACAAUACCAAAAGAUCCUCCCUUUCCCUGCUCCCACCAGCACACGACAACCACCAGCACAGGUGAUAGAAGUUCCAGAGUUACUAACUUAGACAAGAAGGACCAAGCCUUACCAUCUCCUCUACCACCUCUUCCCCCACCACCCCUACCGCCACCUUAUUUCUCAGCUAGACCGACUACCACCCUCAAGGCUCCUACAGUUGUUCAAUUCUAUCUGUUCGGGCUUAAAUCUUGAAAUCAAUUUCCUGCAGUAUUAGUUCAAUAUCAAUGACUAUAAAUAGUUUUUUAAACUAGUAUUAAUAAUUCUAUAUUAUUUACAUAAAUGUCUUGUUUUGUUGUUGCAUAUUUUCCGCAUCCCAUUUGCAAAGCAUAAAUGUUAGAGGAGGGACUAUUGGCAAAUGAAUUAUAGUUAUGGUUGCAACUAUGGGGAGGCUAACAGUGGAACUGGAUUAUGACAUUGGGAGGCCCACGAACAACAAGAUUUCAAGUAAAUUAACAAGUGAGUGUGUUUAUCUAGUAAGAAAGCAUGCUCCUCUACAGGUUGAAGCAUGGGUGAAGAUCGAUGAGAAUGAAAGAAAACGAAUCAGAGAUCUUUUACAGCAUCGUUCACAAGUAAUAAAAAAAAUCAUGAAAAUGUGUCUUAUAAUCAUUAUGGAGGAUCGAAACCCUUUGUAUAUCAUCUUCAGGAAAAAUCAAAGAAUUUUCCUAAAGGACAAACAUAGGAUGGGUGGAUUUUUUUCAUGAUAUGCAUUAUCAUGAUAAAAAAGGUUGGAUCAAUAAGACAGCUCGACAAAGAUAUGUAUGUAAAUAAUUUUCUACAUUUCUCCUCCCAAACUAAGAAACACUUUACUUACAUUGCCUUCCUAGGAUAUGUAUGGAGGAUGAGAUAAUGUGUUGGAAAAUAUGAGUACUCUUCAAAUGAAGAGGAUGAGGAAAUUAUUGUUACAGGAAUUGUGGAAUUGGGCAUAUGGCAAUUAUUGUUAUAUUGUCAAUUUUCUAAGUGAAAAAUACAUUCAUAUAAAUUUUUGUUU